rnacentral:tRNA from 1 species
GCGCACCGGACUCUUAAUCCGGUUGUCGUGGGUCCAAAUCCCACUAGACCCG